rnacentral:lncRNA from 1 species
CAGAAGCCAACUUAUUGGGGCUGCAUAUUGCUUUCCAUCCCCUGUUGAGUGUGGAAAGAAAAAUACAGCCUCUCCCAGAAAAAAGAAAAAAGAAAAGGGGAAAGAAAAGAGAUUCAAGUUGGUUGGGAUUCCCUGUUCUGAACUCUUCUGGAGUAAGGUGUCCUCUCCUUCGAAUGACAGGAAGAGAAAGAGAUGCUUUUCCUUCUCUGCCAAAGAGCUUAGUGGUUAUAGAGCUCACCCAAGAGGCAGUGA